rnacentral:rRNA from 1 species
UACGUAGGGUGCGAGCGUUAAUCGGAAUUACUGGGCGUAAAGCGUGCGCAGGCGGUUCGUUGUGUCGGCGGUGAAAGCCCCGGGCUUAACCUGGGAAUGGCCGUUGAAACUGGCGAACUGGAGUGUGGCAGAGGGGGGUGGAAUUCCGCGUGUAGCGGUGAAAUGCGUAGAUAUCGGGAGGAACAUCGAUGGCGAAGGCAAUCACCUGGGCCUGAACUGACACUGAGACACGAAAGCGUGGGUAGCAAACAGG